rnacentral:lncRNA from 13 species
CUGCAGCGAAAUUGUAGUCUUUGAAGUCUUGUGGCAGCAAAUUCCUAGCAAAAUCCGUGGAAAUAAUUUAAUAGCCAAUAUAAGAAAAGGAGCAUUGUUAUAUUAUAAUUCAAAAUGGAGGAUACUGCAAAACCAGUAUCACUUCUGAUUCACUUCUCUCAACAUCUACACUGCACCAAGUAAAAGAUAAAAAAAAAGAUGAUGAAAUUUCCCAAAGUGACGAAUGUAGUGAUAAUAUAGAGAAAUUUGAAGAACACAGUCAACAAAAAGAUGCUGUAAAAUCAUCUUUGGAAAUUUUUUUUCAGAUUCUGGCGUCUUUUUCCACAAGAAGGAAAAAAGAAAUGAUAACAUAGACAAUAAUAAUAUCACAUCGGAUAUUAUUGACAAUUGUAUUAUCAACAAUGUUCAAGUUCAAGAAGAAAUACGCGUCAAGCUUGACCAUAUGGAAGUUAAAUUAGAUCGUAUCUUAAGGAAGCUCUAUCCAGAAGAAGUAAAAUUGAAGCGACCACGCGGAAUUCCUGCAUUUCCUUUACGAACUGAACAAGAGUGGAAUACUUUGGAAAAUAUUCUCGCAGAUGACAAUACAUUUACAUAUGUAGUAGAUGUCUUCGCGGCAAAAAUUAAAAACCUGGAAUCAGAGGUUGCUGCUGUACUCC